rnacentral:rRNA from 1 species
AACGCAGCUAGCUGCGUUAUUUACCACGAAUUGCAGACGCUUAGAGUGGUGAAAUUUUGAACGCAUAGCGCCGUUGGGUUUUCCCUUCGGCACGUCUGGUUCAGGGUUGUU